rfam:Candidatus Schekmanbacteria bacterium RBG_13_48_7 RBG_13_scaffold_16057, whole genome shotgun sequence.
CCCAGGAUUAAAAUCCUGGGCUACUUUCAAUCGCCCCUAUGGGGGGCU